rnacentral:rRNA from 1 species
AUUGAACGCUGGCGGCAUGCCUUACACAUGCAAGUCGAACGGUAACAGGUCUUCGGAUGCUGACGAGUGGCGAACGGGUGAGUAAUACAUCGGAACGUGCCUAGUAGUGGGGGAUAACUACUCGAAAGAGUGGCUAAUACCGCAUGAGAUCUACGGAUGAAAGCAGGGGAUCGCAAGACCUUGUGCUACUAGAGCGGCCGAUGGCAGAUUAGGUAGUUGGUGGGAUAAAAGCUUACCAAGCCGACGAUCUGUAGCUGGUCUGAGAGGACGAUCAGCCACACUGGGACGGAGACACGGCCCAGACUCCUACGGGAGGCAGCAGUGGGGAAUUGUGGACAAUGGGCGCAAGGCUGGUCCAGCAAUGCCGCGUGCAGGAUGAAGGCCUUCGGGUUGUAAACUGCUUUCGUACGGAACGAAAAGCCCCGGGUUAAUACCCUGGGGUCAUGACGGUACCGUAAGAAUAAGCACCGGCUAACUACGUGCCAGCCGCCGCCGUAA